UACAGAGGUCCCAAGCGUUGUUCGGAUUCACUGGGCGUAAAGGGUGCGUAGGUGGCGAGGUAAGUCGGAUGUGAAAGCCUCGGAGCCUCAACUCCGAAAUGGCAUUGGAAACUACCUUGCUUGAGGGUUGGAGGGGGGGACUGGAAUUCUCGGUGUAGCAGUGAAAUGCGUAGAGAUCGGGAGGAACACCAGUGGCGAAGGCGGCACCCUGGACCAGCACGUGACACUGAGGCGACGAAAGCGCUGGGGAGCAAACAGG
rnacentral:rRNA from 1 species